GACGAACGCUGGCGGCGUGCUUAACACAUGCAAGUCGAACGGUAAGGCCCUUCGGGUACGACGAGUGGCGAACGGGUGAGUAACACGUGGGUGAUCUGCCCUGCACUUCGGGAUAAGCUUGGGAAACUGGGUCUAAUACCGGAUAGGACCACGGUCUGCAUGGAUUGUGGUGGAAAGCUUUUGCGGUGUGGGAUGGGCCCGCGGCCUAUCAGCUUGUUGGUGGGGUGAUGGCCUACCAAGGCGACGACGGGUAGCCGGCCUGAGAGGGUGUCCGGCCACACUGGGACUGAGAUACGGCCCAGACUCCUACGGGAGGCAGCAGUGGGGAAUAUUGCACAAUGGGCGCAACCCUGAUCCAGCCAUGCCGCGUGAGUGAAGAAGGCCCUCGGGUUGUAAAGCUCUUUUGUCCGGAAAGAAAAGCAAUCGGUUAAUACCCGGUUGUUCUGACGGUACCGGAAGAAUAAGCACCGGCUAACUUCGUG
rnacentral:rRNA from 1 species